rnacentral:lncRNA from 1 species
AUGUUUCGUUGUAGGUUUUUGAAUUAAUUCUGUUGUAAUCAUCAUUUCUGAUUAAGUAAUUCUUUCCCCCUCUGUUGAACCUUUUUUUCCGGUUCAGUUUUCUCCUAAUUAAUCAACAUAGGUUAUAAACUGUUGAUGCGAUUCAAUAAAUUUCAUUCCUUAGUCCAGUUCUGAUAGUUAAUUCAUGUUCGUGCUAAAUGUUAGUUUGGUUUAACUCUGAAUUCAUUUUUCUGAAUUGGUUGAUUGAAUUGAAAUAGCUAGUGCCCAGUCUUGUAUAAAACUGUAUCUAUUUCCAUAAUUGUUUGGAUUGCUAUUUGUUCAAAUGGUAUCAGUUGUGCUGUCUAUCAUUUUGUUGCAUAUGAGUUCAGUAGGUUGUACAUGUUCUUUCAUUUCUGUAUGAGUUCCAUAUUGAUUUUGUUCUGGAUCGUUGAUUUUGUUUUGAUAUCAUUUUUGUCUAAUCUGAAUGGUUGUUUGAAUAUGUGUGGUUGAGUUGAAUCUUGAUUAAAUUUAGUUUUUGAGAUGCUUGUUAGGAGUCAGUCCGUAUGGAUAAAUGCUGAUUAAUUAAGUGAGCUUGGUUAUAGCUGUUUUAAUUAGCAGGUAAUCAGAUUUAGAUAUGCCCAGCUUUGAGCAAAUCCUGAAUAAAGAGCAUUAACAGUAGGUUUCAGGGUUAUUUUAGGAAUAGCAAAAUAGAAAUCCGGAUUUGACUGAGUAUUAUGACCAGUAGGACCCCAAUGUGCUUUAACUUGAAUAAAUUAGUAGUAGGGGUCCACUAGGUAAUGAGAAUGUUUGACUGCUUUUGGUUGAUUGAUAAUUAGGAAUAGUAGCGUAAUAAUAAAAGUGUAAAAAGAAGAAUAGAAGAGCAUAUUUGGGAGGGGGGCUGUUAUUAAAGUAAAGAUUAAGUGGGGGAGUAAUAAUGAAAGUGUUGUAAAAAUAAUUAAAAGGGAAAAGGGGAGAGGUCUUGUGGGAUCGAUAAAUAAGAGGCAUUUGGUUGAUGGAGGGAUCAGAUUUUAGAGAACAAAAAACUUGAGAAAAGAGAGUUAAGUUAAAACUAUUAGCUUUCUAAUACAAAGAGUUCAGUGAGUCUAGAGUGGAAAUAGACUAACUUUCAAUCUGAAAGAGUGAGUAAUUUGAGAAUUCAGAAAUUAAAGUUAGCCCCUUUUGUCAUCAAAAAAUCAUUUUUAGUUCGUGAUUUGAAGCUACAAGCUUCUGUUUGGAGUGUGUAUUAUUUUUUUUGGAAGUUCUUGUUCAAUUCCAAGCUUGAUUGAGAUUAUUUAGCUGCCUGCGUUUGAACAUUUUGGUUUGGCCAUCUCGAAUUUGGUUGUUCCCGGAUUUUACUGGUUUUCAAUCUAUUCUGAAUUGAGCGCGGCACUGCUGGUUGCUUUCUGCCUAUCGUUGUUGUUGAUGUGUUGUUGUUACUGCACCUACUGAUCCUUUUCUUCUCUCUUCCAUUUUUCUGUUUCCAGGUACAUAUUCUACAACCUUCAAGCUAUGGAAAUAAAGUGAUAAUAUUACCCGAAGUAGACUUGAAAAUUUUUGUUAUCUUUUAUUUAAUUUCGAGGUGUAAACCAAUAGCCUAUUUGAUAUUACAUGUUGUAUACCGGAAUGAUUCUAAAUGUAAUGGACCUUCAAUAUAAGGUUAUUCACUUAGCUUGUGAAGCUCUUAGGAAUGUGGAAAUGUGAGUAUGUGAGUUUUUUCCUCUUGAAUAUUAUUGGUAAUGACCCAUAUUAAGUUAGUCAAUAGUUUCUGUUAGUCGAAUGAUUUACGUGUUUUCUUGAAUCUAUCCAAAUGCCUAAAACUAGAAUCAUAGUUAACCCUGCUUAUGUACCUUAAAAUAAUUCGUUUGCAGCCAUGUGAUUUCUAAGGUUCAAAAACAAUAAAUGGC